rnacentral:rRNA from 1 species
CUUCCUACGCGAGGCAGCAGUGGGGAAUAUUGCACAAUGGGGGAAACCCUGAUGCAGCGACGCCGCGUGAGUGAAGAAGUAAUUCGUUAUGUAAAGCUCUAUCAGCAGGGAAGAAAAUGACGGUACCUGAGUAAGAAGCCCCGGCUAACUACGUGCCAGCAGCCGCGGUAAUACGUGGGGGGCAAGCGUUAUCCGGAUUUACUGGGUGUAAAGGGAGUGUAGACGGCAGUGCAAGUCUGGCGUGAACGGCGGG